rnacentral:rRNA from 1 species
GAAUUCGCCCUUAGAGUUUGAUCCUGGCUCAGGACGAACGCUGGCGGCGCGCCUAACACAUGCAAGUCGAACGAGCGAGAGGAGGUUUACUUUCUCAAGCGAGUGGCGAACGGGUGAGUAACGCGUGAGGAACCUGCCUCAAAGAGGGGGACAACAGUUGGAAACGACUGCUAAUACCGCAUAAGCCCACGACCCGGCAUCGGGUAGAGGGAAAAGGAGCAAUCCGCUUUGAGAUGGCCUCGCGUCCGAUUAGCUAGUUGGUGAGGUAAUGGCCCACCAAGGCGACGAUCGGUAACCGGACUGAGAGGUUGAACGGCCACAUUGGGACUGAGACACGGCCCAGACUCCUACGGGAGGCAGCAGUGGGGAAUAUUGCACAAUGGGGGAAACCCUGAUGCAGCGACGCCGCGUGGAGGAAGAAGGUCUUCGGAUUGUAAACUCCUGUUGUUGAGGAAGAUAAUGACGGUACUCAACAAGGAAGUGACGGCUAACUACGUGCCAGCAGCCGCGGUAAAACGUAGGUCACAAGCGUUGUCCGGAAUUACUGGGUGUAAAGGGAGCGCAGGCGGGAAGGCAAGUUGGAAGUGAAAUCCAUGGGCUCAACCCAUGAACUGCUUUCAAAACUGUUUUUCUUGAGUAGUGCAGAGGUAGGCGGAAUUCCCGGUGUAGCGGUGGAAUGCGUAGAUAUCGGGAGGAACACCAGUGGCGAAGGCGGCCUACUGGGCACCAACUGACGCUGAGGCUCGAAAGUGUGGGUAGCAAACAGGAUUAGAUACCCUGGUAGUCCACACUGUAAACGAUGAUUACU